rnacentral:rRNA from 1 species
AUCCACGCCUUAACGAUGAUUACUCGAUGUGUGCGAUACACAGCACGCGUCCUAGCGAAGCGUUAAGUAAUCCACCUGGGGAGUACGAUCGCAAGGUUGAACUCAAAGGAAUUGACGGGGCCCGCACAAGCGGAGGAGCAUGUGGUUUAAUUCGAUGAUACGCGAGGAACCUUACCUGGGCUUGAAAGUUAGUGACCGUCUGUGAAAGCAGACUUUCCGCAAGGACACGAACUAGGUGCUGCAUGGCUGUCGU